CUCUUGUUUCACUUUCCCCUGAACAAUGUUCCGUGUAAGGAACAUUACCUAUUCCUUCUUUCCAGAGCUGCUGUCUAACCCGCUGAGUUACUGAGUAUUCAACAUUCCAACAUCAAAGAAUAGUCCUACGCUUCUGUUCUCUAGAAGACGGUGCCUGUACAGCUGAAUUAGUUCAGUACUUUGUGUCAUUCUUUGUAAACCAGCAUCUGCAGUUUCUUCCAUCAACCUUACUGUCAUCUUCCCUUGCAUUUUGGAAACGGUGACUUUAAAAACACAAUCUCAGUGAACUUUCGGAGAGGGCAGAAGUUCACAGUAACUGGAUAUAUUACCGCUUGAUUAGUCCAGGUGUCUGGGGUUAUGGGGAGAAGGCAGGAGAAUGGGGUUAGGAGGGAGAGAUAAAUCAGCCGUGAUUGAACGGCAGAGUAGUGCUAUUCUGCUCCCAUCACUUGUGAACAUGAACUUUUGUUGUUAAACUGCAAAGUUAGCCACGGAAUAAACACAGAACACCUGUGCUGUGGAAUAGCUCAUCUGGCCGACUGCAUUUUAUGGCGAGAUGCACAGCUGCUAAAUGAAUUGUGAGAAGGAUUUGCAGUGGGGAACCUGAUACUGCUUGGGAAAACUGCAAGUUUAUUUACUAUGCCUGUCAACCAGACUUUACCUCACCUACCGUGUUAUCACAUUGUUUCUGGGAUUCGUAUCUUCUCGUUUGAUCAGUGGCAGGGGGUGAGGUGCAGACCAGCUGAGGGGCCGCAAAGGUUCCGGUUGCCCAGUUGGAGGAGGAAGCAACUUGCCACUCCUGUCAAUCAGUCGCGGCAGGCGGUAGCUGCGCAGUUCAGCGGCAGAAGCACCUUGUGCUAAACCCCUUGAUUCAGCACAGCAAGUGAUCGAAUAAUGACUUAACCAGAUCAGGGAAUGGCAGUCCCUCAGCAUUGAGGAUGACUUGCUUGCACUCUGGUUUGGUGGCUUCUGAGACGGCUGAUAAAGGCAGGGUGGAAAACGCUGACUCUCACCAUGGAUGGAGGUUGUGUGAAGUUUGAAAUGCCUUGCCUCUGGACAGUCCACAGCCUAUCUUCAUCCCAGCGGUAAGGAGAAUCUUAUGGACGGGUUGGUCACCUGGAAUUUUGAGCAUUGACUCCUCAAUGGUCCACACAGGGUGUAACCUGAAGGGCACUUUCCACAGCUCUGUGUCUUUCCAACUAGCUGCUCUCAUUAACCUUUCAACUGGACGGCUUCAUCAACAGUUUAUAACCACGGGAAACCUAUUAUUGAAAUGAUAACAAAGAAGAUAUCAUUGAGAUAUUGAGAGUGCAGUGGACAAGAUCUGUACACUUCAGACAAUAUGGCAUUGAGCGAAUUGAAUCUUAGCUGCAAAUAAAAUGUGAUUAUUAAACAAUUUAACAAACAUUGUGAGGUUAGGAUGAAGAUCUAACGGAAUUCAUCUGAGCUGUUACAGAUCUUUUGCAAAGGAUUUGUUUAUCUGCUUGAGGUGAGAGUUAUAGAGUCAUAGAAAUGGGCCCUUGAGUCCAAUUCAUCCCAGCUGACUAAGAUGCCAUCUACACUAAUAUUGUUUUCCUGCUUUUGGCUCCAUUGCUUUCCUAUCCAUGUACGUGUCUAAAUGCUUUUAAAGUCCUAUAAUUAUGCCUUC